CAGCCGCCACGGUAAUACAGAGGGUGCGAGCGUUAAUCGGAUUUACUGGGCGUAAAGCGUGCGUAGGCGGCUUCUUAAGUCGGAUGUGAAAUCCCUGAGCUUAACUUAGGAAUUGCAUUCGAUACUGGGAAGCUAGAGUAUGGGAGAGGAUGGUAGAAUUCCAGGUGUAGCGGUGAAAUGCGUAGAGAUCUGGAGGAAUACCGAUGGCGAAGGCAGCCAUCUGGCCUAAUACUGACGCUGAGGUACGAAAGCAUGGGGAGCAAACAGGAUUAGAGACCCGCGUAGUCCCUGUCUCUUAUAC
rnacentral:rRNA from 1 species